rnacentral:rRNA from 1 species
GACGCACGCUGGCGGCGUGCUUAACACAUGCAAGUCGAACGGAGUGGCGAACGGGUGAGUAACACGUGGGUGAUCUGCCUUGCACUUCGGGAUAAGCUUGGGCAACUGGGUAUAAUACCGGAUAUUGCACGAUGAGCUCGCGGCCUAUCAGCUUGGUGGUGGGGUAAUGGCCUACCAAGGCGUCGACGGGUAGCCGGCCUGAGUGGGUGUACGGCCACAUUGGGACUGAGAUACGGCCCAGACUCCUACGGGAGGCAGCAGGGGGGAAUAUUGCACCAUGGGCGGAAGCCGUAUGCAGCGACGCCGCGUGGGGGAUGAAGGCCGUCGGGUUGUAAACUCCUUGCGACAGGGACGCGGUACCUGUAUAAGAAGCACCGGCUAACUACGUGCCAGCAGCCGCGGUAAUAC